rnacentral:rRNA from 1 species
UCGCGAAUCAUUCACAAUGGACGCAAGUCUGAUGAUGCCACGCCGCGUGCGGGAUGAAGGCCCUUUGGGUUGUAAACCGCUGUCAAGGGAGGGGAAACACCUAGUGUUAACAGCGCUAGGCUUGACUGCUCCCUAAAGGAAGCCCCGGCAAAACAUGUGCCAGCAGCCGCGGUAAUACAUGUGGGGCAAGCGUUGUUCGGAAUUACUGGGCAUAAAGGGUGCGUAGGCGGUUUGUUAAGUCACUGGUGAAAGUUUGCGGCCCAACCGUAAAAUUGCCUGUGAUACUGGCGAACUUGAGUGCGUGAGGGGUAGGGGGAACGAGCAGUGUAGCGGUGAAAUGCGUAGAUAUUGCUCGGAAGGCCGGAGCCGAAGGGGCCCUACUGGUACGUAACUGACGCUGAGGCACGAAAGCGUGGGGAGCAAACAGGAUUAGAUACCCCUGUAGUCCCUGAGCGGGCUGGCAAGGCGCAU